rnacentral:rRNA from 1 species
CAAUAGCGUAUAUUAAAGUUGUUGCAGUUAAAAAGCUCGUAGUUGGAUUUCUGGUAGGAGUGACCGUUCCGAACUUGAUUGUUCGUGUAUUGUGUUUUCUCCAGCCAUCCUUGUGGAGAACUUUUCUUGCAUUAAUUUGUAGGGAUUGGGACCCGCAUCGUUUACUGUGAAAAAAUUAGAGUGUUUUAAGCAGGCAAUCGCUUGAAUACAUUAGCAUGGAAUAAUAAGAUAGGACUUUGGUACUAUUUUGUUGGUUUGCAUACCAAAUUAAUGAUCAACAGGAACAGUUUGAGGAUAUUCGUAUGAACAUGUCAGAGGUGAAAUUCUUGGAUUUUGAUCAGACGAACUACUGCGAAAGCAUUUAUCAAGGAUGUUUUCAUUAA